rnacentral:rRNA from 1 species
UACGGAGGGUGCAAGCGUUAUCCGGAUUCACUGGGUUUAAAGGGAGCGCAGGCGGAUUUGUAAGUCAGUGGUGAAAGGCUUAAGCUUAACUUGGGAACUGCCAUUGAUACUAUAAGUCUUGAAUGUUGUUGAGGUUUGCGGAAUGGGUCAUGUAGCGGUGAAAUGCAUAGAUAUGACCCGGAACACCUAUUGCGAAGGCAGCAGGCUAAACAAAUAUUGACGCUGAGGCUCGAAAGCGUGGGGAUCAAGCAGG